rnacentral:snRNA from 1 species
GUACAAGGAAAGGGUAAAACCCU